GGGGAUGCCGGGCUUUGAUAAGAGGUCUUUGACAAGAUAUGCUGGCCGAGAUUUGAUUUUUGAUCUCGUUAAUCUUUAAGGAUCAAUUAUACAUGCCAAUGUAUUUACAAAAGUGAAGAACGCGAUUGCUAACGCUUUCGUUGUUCCUUCAUUUGCAAUGGUCGCGGCUUAAUAGCUCGCUACCCAUCCAACGCGCCCAAGCUCAAUAAGCGCGAAGGGUGUUAUAAAAUUGAGCUAGAUCAAACUUGUUUCCUUACGAAUUUGAUUGAAAGGCACUGAGGAUCGAAAAAAAUAUUUUUGUUUGAUUUUGAUAUUUUUUUCUAAAACCAAAUCAAACUACGCCUGUAGAAAUAUCUUGACUAUCCUUUUAGACGGGGGUUCAACUCCCCCCAUCUCCACCA
rnacentral:tmRNA from 2 species